rnacentral:rRNA from 1 species
UACGGGGGGGGCAAGCGUUGUUCGGAAUUACUGGGCGUAAAGGGCGCGUAGGCGGCCUGCUAAGUCACAUGUGAAAUCCCUCGGCUCAACCGGGGAACUGCGUGUGAUACUGGCGGGCUUGAAUUCGGGAGAGGGAUGUGGAAUUCCAGGUGUAGCGGUGAAAUGCGUAGAUAUCUGGAGGAACACCGGUGGCGAAGGCGGCAUCCUGGACCGAGAUUGACGCUGAGGCGCGAAAGCUAGGGGAGCAAACGGG